AGGGCCUGAUGGAGCAAGUGAACCAGGCGGUCUGCAAAACCGACACGGCGGGCGCAAUACCCGCAGGCCCUUCCA
rnacentral:tRNA from 1 species